UAUUAUUAAGCGGAGGAAAAGAAACUAACAAGGAUUCCCUUAGUAAUGGCGAACGAACAGGGAAGAGCCCAGCGCUGAAUCUUACGUCCUCACGGGCGUAAAGACAUGUGGCGUUUGGGACGGAACAUUGCUUGUGCUGAUUGAUCAUCCAAGUCCCUCUUGAACGGGGCCAUUGCCCAUGGAGGGUGCUAGGCCCGUACGGUGAUUACUGUUGUGCAAUGCGUUCCGUCCGUAGAGUCGGGUUGCUUGGGAGUGCAGCCCAAAUCAGGUGGUAAACUCCAUCUAAGGCUAAAUAUGACCACGAGACCGAUAGCGAACAAGUACCGUGAGGGAAAGUUGAAAAGAACUUUGGAGAGAGAGUUCAAUAGUACGUGAAA
rnacentral:rRNA from 1 species